rnacentral:tRNA from 1 species
GGACCCGUAGCUCAGCGGUAGAGCAUCUGAUUCCAGCUUGUUGGAGACAGCAUCCAGAAGGUCAUCCGUUCAAAUCGGGUCGGGUUCA